rnacentral:tRNA from 1 species
GUGGCUGACUGAUCACGGUGUUCGCUUUGUAAGCGAAUGGUCCUGGGUUCGAUUCCCAUC